rnacentral:rRNA from 1 species
AUGAAAGCUCUUUUCUGGAACAUCAGGGAUUUCGGUGCUAGGGGGCGCAGAGACCAGCUGAAAGACCUUGUUCAGAGCGAUAAUAUUGACAUCAUUGGACUCGUUGAAAUGCUAAAACCCUCUUUCUCCCCUAAUGAACUCUCUACGGUUGCGGGGAUCGACAGAUUCGAGUGGAACUUUCUGCCUUCCUCGGGCCACUCCGGCGGCAUCCUUAUUGGUACUAAACGAGACAUGUUUGAUUUUGUUGCUUUCGAUCAUGGUAUUUUUUGGGCUAGCACUGUUGUGUCUCAUCGCUCCCUCAACGUUCUCUAGGAAGUUAUGGUAGUUUACGGUCCGGCUGACCAUUCUCUUUCCCACUUGUUCUUGGAUGAGGUAUCGAAUAAGAUUGAUUCGUGUGAUCUUCCCUUGCUUAUUGGUGGUGAUUUCAACUUAAUGCGCUCACCCUCGGACAAAAAUUCCCCUAACUUUUCCUGGUCGCUUGCUGACGCUUUUAACGCUUUCAUUUGUGACUCAUCUAUCUGUGAAGUGCCUAGGGUGGGUGCUCGCUUUACCUGGAUGAAUCACUAG